CCUACGGGAGGCAGCAGUGAGGAAUAUUGGUCAAUGGGCGCUAGCCUGAACCAGCCAAGUAGCGUGAAGGAUGACUGCCCUAUGGGUUGUAAACUUCUUGUAUAUGGGAAUAAAGUGCAGUAUGUAUACUGCUUUGCAUGUACCUUAUGAAUAAGGAUCGGCUAACUCCGUGCCAGCAUCCGGGGUAAUACGGAGGAGCUGAGCGUUAUCCGGAUUUAUUGGGUUUAAAGGGAGCGUAGGCGGGGUGGUAAGUCAGUUGGGAAAGUUUGCGGCUCAACCGUAAAAUUGCAGUUGAUACUGGCAGCCUUGAGUACAGUAGAGGUAGGCGGAAUUCGUGGUGUAGCGGUGAAAUGCUUAGAUAUCACGAAGAACUCCGAUUGCGAAGGCAGCCUGCUGGACUGUAACUGACGCUGAUGCUCGAAAGUGUGGGUAUCAAACAGGAUUAGAUACCCUUGUAGUC
rnacentral:rRNA from 1 species